rnacentral:rRNA from 1 species
AGCAGCCGCGGUAAUUCCAGCUCCAAUAGCGUAUAUUAAAGUUGUUGCAGUUAAAAAGCUCGUAGUUGAAUUUCGGGAUCGACGGGUCGGUCGCGCCUCUGGUGUGUACUGGCCCUGUCGGUUUCUCCCUUCUGACGAACCACGAUGUCAUUAAUUUGGUGUCGUGGGAAAUCAGGACUGUUACUUUGAAAAAAUUAGAGUGUUUAAAGCAGGCAUUCGCUUGAAUACAUUAGCAUGGAAUAAUGAAAUAGGACGUUUGAUCUUAUUUUGUUGGUUUCUAAGAUCGACGUAAUGAUUAAUAGGGAUAGUUGGGGGCAUUAGUAUUCAAUUGUCAGAGGUGAAAUUCUUGGAUUUAUUGAAGACUAACUACUGCGAAAGCAUUUGCCAAGGAUGUUUUCAUUAAUCAAGAACGAAAGUUAGGGGAUCGAAGACGAUCAGAUACCGUCGUAGUCUUAACCAUAAACUAUGCCGACUAGGGAUCG